GGCGGUGGCAAUCGAAGGAACUCCCGGUGUGAUAUGUUGGAAUGUAAUCCGUACCAUAUCACAGCGGUAGUUACCUGAUAUUGCUGCCGUU
rfam:Anopheles sinensis unplaced genomic scaffold AS2_scf7180000696051, whole genome shotgun sequence.